rnacentral:rRNA from 1 species
AGUGAACGCUGGCGAUAGGCCUAACACAUGCAAGUCGAACGGCAGCACAGUAAGAGCUUGCUCUUACGGGUGGCGAGUGGCGGACGGGUGAGGAAUACAUCGGAAUCUACUUUUUCGUGGGGGAUAACGUAGGGAAACUUACGCUAAUACCGCAUACGACCUACGGGUGAAAGCAGGGGAUCUUCGGACCUUGCGCGAUUGAAUGAGCCGAUGUCGGAUUAGCUAGUUGGCGGGGUAAAGGCCCACCAAGGCGACGAUCCGUAGCUGGUCUGAGAGGAUGAUCAGCCACACUGGAACUGAGACACGGUCCAGACUCCUACGGGAGGCAGCAGUGGGGAAUAUUGGACAAUGGGCGCAAGCCUGAUCCAGCCAUACCGCGUGGGUGAAGAAGGCCUUCGGCUUGUAAAGCCCUUUUGUUGGGAAAGAAAAGCAGCAGGUUAAUACCCCGCUGUUCUGACGGUACCCAAAGAAUAAGCACCGGCUAACUUCGUG